rnacentral:rRNA from 1 species
AGAACGAACGCUGGCGGCAGGCCUCAAACAUGCAAGUCUAGGGGGUGUAGCAAUACAUCACCGGCGGACGGGUGCGUAACGCGUGGGAAUAUACCUAUUGGUUCGGAACAACUGAGGGAAACUUCAGCUAAUACCGAAUAAGUCCUUACGGAGAAAGAUUUAUCGCCAAUAGAUUAGCCCGCGUUCGAUUAGCUAGUUGGUGGGGUAACGGCCCACCAAGGCGACGAUCGAUAGCUGUUCUGAGAGGAAGAUCAGCCACACUGGGACUGAGACACGGCCCAGACUCCUACGGGAGGCAGCAGUUGGGAAUCUUGGACAAUGGGGAAACCCUGAUCCAGCCAUGCCGCGUGAGUGAUGAAGGCCUUCGGGUUGUAAAACUCUUUCGCGCACGACGAUAAUGACGGUAGUGCGAGAAGAAGCUCCGGCUAACUUCGUGCCAGCAGCCGC